rnacentral:tRNA from 1 species
GACCCCGUAGCUCAGCUGGACAGAGCAACAGCCUUCUAAGCUGUGGGUCAGAGGUUCGAAUCCUCUCGGGGUCGCCA